rnacentral:rRNA from 1 species
AAAUUGAAGAGUUUGAUCAUGGCUCAGAUUGAACGCUGGCGGCAGGCCUAACACAUGCAAGUCGAACGGUAACAGGAAACAGCUUGCUGUUUCGCUGACGAGUGGCGGACGGGUGAGUAAUGUCUGGGAAACUGCCCGAUGGAGGGGGAUAACUACUGGAAACGGUAGCUAAUACCGCAUAACGUCGCAAGACCAAAGAGGGGGACCUUCGGGCCUCUUGCUAUCGGAUGUGCCCAGAUGGGAUUAGCUAGUAGGUGGGGUAACGGCUCACCUAGGCGACGAUCCCUAGCUGGUCUGAGAGGAUGACCAGCCACACUGGAACUGAGACACGGUCCAGACUCCUACGGGAGGCAGCAGUGGGGAAUAUUGCACAAUGGGCGCAAGCCUGAUGCAGCCAUGCCGCGUGUAUGAAGAAGGCCUUCGGGUUGUAAAGUACUUUCAGCGGGGAGGAAGGGAGUAAAGUUAAUACCUUUACUCAUUGACGUUACCCGCAGAAGAAGCACCGGCUAACUCCGUGCCAGCAGCCGCGGUAAUACGGAGGGUGCAAGCGUUAAUCGGAAUUACUGGGCGUAAAGCGCACGCAGGCGGUUUGUUAAGUCAGAUGUGAAAUCCCCGGGCUCAACCUGGGAACUGCAUCUGAUACUGGCAAGCU